GAUUAACUCUGAUUUUGCAACUCUUGAUUUUGCAGUUGUUGGUAUGGCUACCUUUCCUUUUCAAAUGAUGUGAGGUAUAAUUUAAUUUCAUAUUAUUGGUGUCAGCUAUGUUUAUAUAUAAUCCUCUGAUCACUUUUCCUUGUGUUAUUAACCUACAGGCUGACUUGAUAUCAGUACACUGUACAUUAUUUAUAUCCUUCUGUAUGUAGCUAUCCAAAGAUUUUCUGUAUUUGAAUAAAUAUCUCAGGUCUAAGUCAACCCUAAAUAAAAUGUAUUAUUAUUUUGAUGAUGUUCAUUUCAGAAUUGACUGGAUCUUUUACUUCAGUUUAGAACUCAGGACUGCUCAAGGAUAUUCAAAUUUUUACAUCUCUAGUUUACCCAAGAUACUUGCCUGCAGAAUUUCUUUCCUAAAAUUCUAUUGUCAAGACUUUGCUGUGGACGAAUCUCAACAAAACUAAAGGCAUGAGGCAGCUUUGGUCACCAAACCAGGCAUCAAGAUAGGAUGAACAAAGGACUGCCAUCUACUCUCUCCCUGACUGAUGUAAAAACAACACAAGAAAGAGCCAACUGGUAUUACCUUACUGAAGCCUAUAUAUAGCCUAAAUCUUCUGGGAACAUGUACAGGACACCUGAACAUCAGAAUGAUCCUGGUAAUGCCUAAACAUGAACUGAACAAGAAUGAACCAAUCCACAUGCUUGUAUGGAUGGGAAAUCUCAGGAGGUCUCAACCCUAUUCAAAGAACUACAGGCACAGGGGAUGGAGCAGAGACUGAGGUAAUGGCAAACCAACAACUGGCCCAACUUGAGACCCAUCUCAUGGGCAAGUACCAAUCCUUGACACUAUUAAUGAUACGCUGUUACGCUUGAAGACAGGAGCCUGGCAUGGCCAUCUUCUGAGAGACUCCACCCUUCAGCUGACUUAAACAGAUUCAUAUACCCACAGCAAAACAGUGAAUGGCACUUGGAGACUCGUGGAAGAAUAGAGGAAGGAUUACAGGCCCUGAAUGGGAUAGGAACUCCACAAGAAGAGCAACAGUCAACUAACCUGGAUUCUUGAUGCUCUCAAAGACUGAACCAACAACCAAAGAACAUACCUGGGCUGGACCUAGACCUCCCACACAAAUGGGGCAGAUGUGCAGCUCAGUCUUCAUGUCAGGGCUAUCCCAAAAGCUGUAUGUGGAGUAUGUUCUUCUAGCUGGCCUGCCUUGUCUGGCCUUAGUGGGAGAGGAAGCACAGCCUCUUACAGACCUGAAAUGUCAGGUCGGGGGAUACCCAAAGGUAUCUCACCUACUCAGAGGAAAAGGGGAUGGGGAUGGGGAUAGGAUUGUGGGAGGGGUGACUCAGAGAGGGCAGUGAGCAGGAUGUGAAGUGAGUUAGCUUCAAUGGGUGUUUGGGAAACCAUUAUAGCAUUUUAGAAACUUAAACCCUUUCCUUGGUCUACACCAAAAGGAAUAGGACUAGGCUUUUACUUUCCUUCAGUAUGAGCAUUGGAAAAGAUGCAAUAAAUGAAAGAGUAAUACUUGUGAGCAAUUAUUACUGAAAAAAGUUAAAAUCUUUCUAGGCUAAACCAGAGGUCUGCUAAAUUUCUUUUUAUAAAGAUUAUAAAAUUUGUAGGCUACGUGGUUUCUCUCCAGAAUGAGCAUAUUGACAACAAGAAUAAGUAGUGUACUACUACUACCUCUUAAAAACUCCCUCAGGAAGGAGAAGUGUAAAAUAUCAGAAGGAUGCUAUUUUACAUAUAUCAUACUCAUACUAUUAACUGCCUAUAAACACUUAUUAUACAUGUAAGCCUGUGUCUAGAUACACAUACAUAGUUCAACUAAAAAUGCCCAUAGGAUGAUAAUGCUCCCUCCAAAGGCCAAAGAUAAUCUAACAAAACCCAGACAUUAGGUGUAGGGCGAGUUUCCCUAAUUGUUUGGUUGGCUAAAUAAAGACGGCAGAAACUAAUCUUUGGGAGAAGAUAUGGAGGUGGGUUUUCCAGGUCCCAGAGAGGAAGAGGAGGGCACACUAUGGAAAGCCUUUUUUAGCCAGGUGGAGGAGGAAGGAGACAGGCAACACGUAGCUUGGCUAGUCCAGUUUAGAGCCUGUGGUAGCCUCCUCCACUGGAAGAGUUCCAACAUAGAACGUCUGAUCAAUUUAGGACAAUAGAUUCCAGGCCCAGUGGUUGUGACAUCUGUCAGAUUUUAAAUAUUAAGAUGGUUUGGUAUUUUCCAUUCCAGAUGAUUCAGGUGGGCAAGAGAGAGGGCACAGCCACAUGGCAGUUGGUAGUCAGCAGAGCCAGCCGUAGGGUGUGUGUGGGGGUAGGGGGGUUGGGGGGUGAUAAAGGUGAUCUCAGGAUGGAAGGUUGCAGAGCCGUUUAGCAAAGCCAGUCAGGGGAAAGAAUGUAGGUCUUGGGAAAAAAAUCAGCAGCGAACAUGGUGCGGCAGUUCUCGGAGCAUAGCUGGGAAGGUGUUAGCUAGUCACAGAGACCAUUGCCCACACCUAGCUGGAGUAAGAGUGAUCUUAUUACUAGGCAUGAGAAGCCUACUUUGGAGUUGUUGGUCAGGGUGUCCAAGGGACUCCCAAAUCAUUUUAAGCCACUGCUAUGGCUCUUGGUCCUUACUCUAUCCCAACCCCACCCCACAGGAGGAAGUAGAUUGCUGAAGAGAACAUGCACUUCAGACACAGGGCCCAGAGGACCUAAGCUAAAACUUAACUGAAAGUCUACUAUCUGAAGACAAGCUUUCAUGGUUCUAGGAGGCACCAUGCAAGAUUCCAAAGGAGAGAAGCAGCCAAAAGUCCUACCUAGUUAUGAUGCCUAAGGACCACAGCAGUGGGAAGCAUGGCGCUAUCACUAAGUGUAAGGUAGAGCAAACACAGCUCAAAGUUAAGCAACACCCUGAUAAUUACACUUAAGACUCACGCAAUAAGAAGGAAAUCAUGUCUGAUCCUGGAAACCUAGCCAAAUACACAGGGCUGUUAUGGAUCCUGGAGCAGAACCUAGAACUGACACUUUACUAAACCAGCAAAUUCCUACAUAUAUUCAAAAGAUUUGUUCUUAUACCCACAGGUAGGCGUAGUCCUCACCUCUUAUCAAGAAGAGUCCUCUUUGCAAUGGACAGAGAACAUUAAUCACAGAAAACCACAACCAAUCAAAAUGCAGAGUCAUGGAGCCCAGUCCAAAGAAGGCAACUCCUGCACCUAAGGAUUAUGGAAAAAUCAUAAGAGACGGAGGAAGAAACACCUUGCUCUGAGAUUGUGUCUUAGGGUGCACUGUCUCAGAGAAAAUGAAAGUAAGAAGCCUUGGAAGUUACAACAAUAUUCUUUUCCUGAUUUUCUUUUUCAUUAUGAUGAAUUUACCAAACACCCAUGGGAAGGAAAAAAAAUAAAGCCUGUGGAUUAAUGUAUACUUAGUACAUUUGUUUGUUUCUUUGGUGAUAUUGUGAAAUAAAAUAUUUCUAA